rnacentral:tRNA from 1 species
GCCUCGCAAGCUCAACAGGUGGAGCGCCGGCGUGAAGACCCGGAGGUUGCCCGUUCGAACCGGGCGCGAGGCACC